rnacentral:rRNA from 1 species
UGCGUAGGGUCCGAGCGUUGUCCGGAAUUAUUGGGCGUAAAGAGCUCGUAGGCGGUUCGGUAAGUCGGAUGUGAAAUCUCCACGCUCAACGUGGAGGGGCCAUUCGAUACUGCCGUGACUCGAGUCCGGUAGGGGAGUGUGGAAUUCCCGGUGUAGCGGUGAAAUGCGCAGAGAUCGGGAGGAACACCCGUAGCGAAGGCGGCACUCUGGGCCGGUACUGACGCUGAGGAGCGAAAGCGUGGGGAGCGAACAGG